GUAGGUGGCAAGCGUUGUCCGGGAAUUAUUGGGGCGUAAAGCGCGCGCAGGCGGUUCUUUAAGUCUGAUGUGAAAGCCCACGGGCUCAACCGUGGAGGGUCAUUGGAAACUGGAGAACUUGAGUACAGAAGAGGAAAGCGGAAUUCCACGUGUAGCGGUGAAAUGCGUAGAGAUGUGGAGGAACACCAGUGGCGAAGGCGGCUUUCUGGUCUGUAACUGACGCUGAGGCGCGAAAGCGUGGGGAGCAAACAGGAUUAGAUACCCUGGUAGUCCACGCCGUAAACGAUGAGUGCUAAGUGUUAGGGGGUUUCCGCCCCUCAGUGCUGCAGCUAACGCAUUAAGCACUCCGCCUGGGGAGUACGGCCGCAAAGGCUG
rnacentral:rRNA from 1 species